rnacentral:rRNA from 1 species
UAAUGCUUAGGAAUCUGCCAUUUAGUGGGGGACAACAUUCCGAAAGGAAUGCUAAUACCGCAUACGUCCUACGGGAGAAAGCAGGGGAUCUUCGGACCUUGCGCUAAAUGAUGAGCCUAAGUCGGAUUAGCUAGUUGGUGGGGUNAAGGCCUACCAAGGCGACGAUCUGUAGCGGGUCUGAGAGGAUGAUCCGCCACACUGGGACUGAGACACGGCCCAGACUCCUACGGGAGGCAGCAGUGGGGAAUAUUGGACAAUGGGCGGAAGCCUGAUCCAGCCAUGCCGCGUGUGUGAAGAAGGCCUUUUGGUUGUAAAGCACUUUAAGCGAGGAGGAGGCUACUAGUACUAAUACUACUGGAUAGUGGACGUUACUCGCAGAAUAAGCACCGGCUAACUCUGUGCCAGCAGCCGCGGUAAUACAGAGGGUGCGAACGUUAAUCGGAUUUACUGGGCGUAAAGCGUGCGUAGGCGGCUUUUUAAGUCGGAUGUGAAAUCCCCGAGCUUAACUUGGGAAUUGCAUUCGAUACUGGGAAGCUAGAGUAUGGGAGAGGAUGGUAGAAUUCCAGGUGUAGCGGUGAAAUGCGUAGAGAUCUGGAGGAAUACCGAUGGCGAAGGCAGCCAUCUGGCCUAAUACUGACGCUGAGGUACGAAAGCAUGGGGAGCAAACAGGAUUAGAUACCCUGGUAGUCCAUGCCGUAAACGAUGUCUACUAGCCGUUGGGGCCUUUGAGGCUUUAGUGGCGCAGCUAACGCGAUAAGUAGACCGCCUGGGGAGUACGGUCGCAAGACUAAAACUC